UCCUCCAACUUCUCUUUCUUCUGGGACAGGUGUUGUCUCUGUGGCCUUGAGCUUGAUCCACAGUUCAUUCAUUUGAUUGGCAAGCAUUUUCUUGGAAUCGGUUAUUACCCCAUUACUGCAUUGGGCAUUAGGGCAGGGAAAAUCAAGCAACUCUGCAUCUCAUCUAAGUUGAUUGCUAUGUUUCGCUUUCUUUGACCUUAUUUUUUGUGGCAAGGGAAACACAACAUUAACAUUCUUCACAGGUAGUUAUAUUUUGAAGAGAGUUUGGAAGUCAUUUGAUAACUUUCUCUUCUCUAAGCAAGAGUCCUACUUCCCUCCAUCUAAGAAAGGCCUCCGACCUAUAUUUAUUUGACCAUUGAUUGCACUGGUUUGUUUUCCAGUGAGCUCUGGAGGUUGGCCAAGACCUUUCAAACACACAAGACAAAGACCUAAAUCAGAUGUGGACUUUCCCGCACACGCUUUGUCUAAAUUUUACAUUUACUUUUUUCUUUUUUUUUUUUUUUUUAACAUUUAUUUAUUUAUUUUGAGACAGAGAAAGUGCAGGGGAGGGGCAGAGAAAGAGGGAGAGAGAGAAUCCCAAGCAGGCUCCAUGCCGACAGCGCAGAGCCUGAUGCAGGGCUCUAAUCCAUGACCUGUGAGAUCAUGACCUGAGCCGAAAUCAAGAGUUGGACACUCAUCCGGGCCACCCAGGCACUCCUGCAUUUACUUUUUAUUUUCUGAUUAAAAAUUAAUAUUUAACAUAGAAAAUUUGGAGAAUGCAGGAAAAUCACAUGGAAGGAAGUUACUGCUAACUUUUUGCUCUCCAGCUUUCUAGCAUUUUGUGUGUAAGUAUGUUUUGUGUAGGUGUAGAAAAGCUAUGAUCGUAUCGAACAUAUCAUUUUGUAAUCUACUUAUUUGACUAAAAAUAUAUUAUGAAUAUUUUCCAUAUCACUAAACAUUUCUUCUCAAACAUAAUUUUAAUAACCACACAGGAGUCUAUUAUAGGGAAAGUCCAUAAUUUACUUAAUCAAUGUGUACAGUGGACCGUGCAAGCUGUUUUCUUUUCCUUUUUUUUUUUUUUUUUUACUAUUAUUAAAAACACUGUGGUAAACAUCAUAGUACAGAAGACUCACUGUAUAUUUUCUGUUAUUUCCUUGAAUAAAUUCCUAGAAAUGGAAUUGCCAGAUCGAAGGAUAUGAACUAGUCUAAGGCUGUGGUGAUGUAUGGCAAAUUUUUCUUCUGGAAACUUCUAUGCAUGUAUGUUUCCCAGCAGCAGUUUAUGAUCAUUCCUGCUUCCCCACUCUCAGGAACAGCGUCUUAGCAGUUUUUUUAAAUCUUUGUCAAUUAUCAAACUAUAAAACGGCAUCUCAUUUUUAUUUUAAUUUAAUUUGUAUCUCUUUGAUUACUAGUGAGAUUGAACGUCUUUCAUUUGUUAGCCUUGUAUGAAAUGUUCAUCUUUUUGUAUCGAUUUCUAAGAACUUUUAUACAAGAAGGUUAUUAUCCCAUCGUGCACUUUUCCAACAUGUAGAAAAUAGAGAAAACUCUUAUUUCUCAGCAGAAGGGGGCUCUUGUGGAAUAAGGCUCCAGGUCUCAUUCUGUCUUGUUUCUGUGGAAAGUUCUUCAGCGUGAAAGGUGGAUUUUUAUCCUAGGAAAACUAAAGGCAAAUCUAUAAGUGAUACUGGUGUUGAUCUUUAAAAAAUAAUAAUAAUAAUAACCCUGCAAUCUGAAUUCACUUACCAUUUUCUAUAUUUCUAGUCUAUGAAAGAACUCAGAGCUAUCAAGUAGAACCCGAGAGUUUUCUUGGAAAACCUAGAGAUAUAUUAAUCAGUCAAAUGUUCCUGGACAGUUUACCCUAAUACUACCGGAAGUAUUAGGAUUUGCCGAGUAAGUCCUUGGCUAGUUUGUACCCCGGAUGAAGAAAGAAAGCUACAGACAUUUAACAAGCUUUCUUAUGACCUUAGCUCGACUUAGGUCUAAAACAUGGUCUUCUGAGUGACAGGCUGUUUUCUGGUAGUUUGGCUGCCGUAUCAGUCUCCUGGUAUCUUCUCCUGCCACCUGUGAGGGAGCACAUUCUUCUGGGCUGUUGAAUUUUGACACAUCACCGGCGCUGUCCCCCUCUGCCCUCGUGGUUCCAUAUCAGAGCACAUACAGAAAAGCCAGGUCAGAUUCCCAAGCCCACAGCACCAAUGGAAGACUCCCACUGCGGAGGUUUCUGGAACAAUGUGAAAGGGGAAAAAAAAAUUCAACUUUAAAAAAUCAACCCACUCUCGCACCUGGUUGAGAAUCUCAGAAGAAAAGAGGCCACUCCCCAGCAUCCACAGAAGAUCUCGGGGGGGGGGGGGAUCCAUGAAUUCUGAAUUCUCCAGUCCAUAGGUUGUUUUCAAGCCCUUGUUCUCAUUUCUGUCAGUAAGUGGAAUUCUCAAAACAACAAUACCCUUCCUUAAAUAAAUUAGUGCCCCAUUCUAGCACAUUCCCCUCAACGUCCUCUGUCUGCAUUCUCCCCUACAGCUUCCCACCGUAUCCACCCCCCUCUUCUGUGAGCUGUAAUGACCCUGCAAACACUAAAUGGCAUUUGAGUGCAUUAAGCAGCAAACUCUCCGGUGACAUAGCAAUUAUGACUCUGAAAUAGAUUUGGUGCGUCACAGAAGAUAAGGGUUUUGAAAGUUUCUGUUGUGAUUAUAGCCUGUAACUCCCACAAAUAACAGGCUUCAAAAUAAGAGGCUGCCAGUGGCGCCUUUGUGGCUUUGUCUCAGUGAUGGCACGUAAAUUGCUAUUAAUGUCCUAAGUGUACUUGAAUAUGCCAGUCUUUGGGACGCAGAGUUGGCUCAGUGUCUCUCUCUACAUGGCAUGUCAUUGUUGGUCUGAUAAUCUGGGGUAAUUGCUGUCUCUUGGAUGGUCAGAAAAGUGUAAGGGGCUUUAGCUUCCUGUGUGAUGGUAAAUAGCUUCCAGGUCCACACCAUGAGUGCGCGCGUGUGUGUGUGUGUGUGUGCGCGUGUGUGUGUUCUGUGCAUGGCUACCGUUCAUGGUGAAGGUGUGUAUACAAUCUCUGUGUGUGCCCUGAGUAAAUAAAAGCCUUUCAGAAAAGCCAAAGCAAAAUCAGAGGUUACAAAAAUAAAAUGAAGAACUUGGGGCUGUGGAGAAUCAGCCCGUUGGAUAAUUUAUACUGAGAGUUAAAAAAAAAGUGUUUAAAAAUACCCUUUGCUUGCAUUAUCCAGAUUUGGCCAUAUGAGUAGAUGCAAUGUUCUGUUGUCUUACACAGCUCCUCUUUUCCAGCAGAAGCAGCAUCUGUGUGUGUGUGCACGUGUGUGCGUGUUCCUAUAUGCAUUCUUCAGGUGUUGUGUUUUCUACAUGCGUAGUGGCUCUGUGUAAAUAUGACAAAGUGUGUCGACAUUUUGCCUGUUGGUGAACACUGUGUGUGGAUGUGUGUUAAGUGUGGAUGUGUGCUGGUUUCUGCAGGUCUGAGCGUAGAGGAUGUUUAUUCAGAUAUAAAUACUUUGCUGCACUGAGGCACCUCUAUUUAGCUAAAUCAAGCUGAACUUAUUUUCCUUGACUCUGCAAAGUUAAAUAAAACAGAUUUUUAACUCCUGAUGUACAUUUAACAUAGGGACUCCGUAAGUCGGUGGGACGUGGAGACGUUAUGUGUCACCGUCCUAUGUGCACUUUUAACAGAAAUAAGAAAGCAACCCAACGGAUGAACUUGGAAACUCACACUACUUCAUCUCCCGUGCGAGCUGUGAAAGGGUCACCCAAAACCAUCCUCUGUGUCUGAAGCGCCUUACAGGACGGUAUUGAUUGCGGGCCUUCACAACAGAUGACUUCAUAAAUGACGAAGCUUAGACGGUGCCAUCAUAGGUCUUGAUCUCAGAGUCGACCUCCAUGUGCACUUGAGUCGUGUGGUGCGGGGUGCUGGCAGGGUGGCGCCCGGUGACCAUGUGGCAGUCAAUGGUCUUGUGGUUGGGUUUCGACGGGCACCCCUCGGGCAGCAGUUAGAGUGUGUGCCAGAUAAGGUUGGAGGCAGCGACUGGUCAUGGAGAGUCCGUGCUCCUCCCAGGUAGAUGGCCACCAAAUUUACUCCACAGGUCUUCGAGCAGGACCCCGCCUUUCCGGAUAAGGUGACUUAAUAUUAACUAGCAAGAUGGCGCUACCCACAGUGGCAUAACACCAGGGCAGUAGAGCUUGUCUUGUCCAAAACCAAGUUUGGUGAGGUGGACUGAGGCUUAGGAGUGAGCGGUAUCAGAAUCCCCUAAAAGACUCUUUUGAGGCCGUCUUGUGGCUCAUAGGUUCCGGCAUCUUCCUAAACAGCACAAAGAUUCCCUGAAGGGGAACCACAGACACGAAUCCCCUGCCUUCAGCCCUAAGCCACGCUUCACGUGUGGUGCCCACACGUGUCACACAGCCCGACCUUUUCAAAUUUGAAGUGUCUAAAAUAGUGGCACAGAGCGGGGACUGCGUUUGGCAUAUUCUAGUUUCUGAGUCCUAGUUUCCUCACCUGACAAGUAGGAAUAGGAACCCCCGCAGGGUUUGUGUACCAUUUGAGACUCAUCCACCAGAGUAAGAGAAUCGCUACCACAAUCCGUGUGUUACUGUGCAGUUAUCACAGACACCGGCGGCCCGACGGCCUUGCACGCACAGGGCAGGCCGCCAACGGAAGCUUUCAAAGCAUUCGUUUCUCUGUUCAUCCAACUCGAGACUUAACCAAGCGGCUCCCGGUGAGACGUGAUCCCUGUUCUCUGAGGCCCUGUGGCUGAAUGAUCUGUGAUCUCGUUGAGACUGAAGACGAAAGCCAUUCAUAUGGCCUGCAAGCCUUGGCAUGAUGGAGCCCUGCCACUCUCCGGCCCCAUCUUGCUGCCGUGGCUGCUCUUCUCCUGGUUCCAUUGCUUCUGGCCUCCUCUCAGUUCCUUGGAGCCUUGGGAAGGGAUUCUCUCUCUGCCCAGUGGCCUCUUUGCCCCUCUUUCUACUUGUCUGUAUCCGCUCACCUCUGGGCUGACUUCCCAGAAGCCCGAGUGCAAUGAGGUCCCUACUAUAUUCUCUCCUCGCACUUACUACCACCUAGAAUCUACGUUUGUCCUUUUGACAAGUUAUCCAAUGUCUGUGUCCCACGAGGCAGGAAGAAGCGGGAGAGCAGAUGUCAGAUGUGUCAAAUCUACCACUGUAUGCCCGGUGCAUAGCACGGGGCAGGCACUGGAGACGUAUUUGUGGAUCAGAAUGAAAUGGUGACCGUGAGGAAGAGCCGGUACUCACAUAGACCUUUAAAUAAAUAAGAGCUGCAUAUGGUUAAAAGUCAACAUGAAGGGUCAAAAAGUCGGGGGUCCUGGCAUUUAGGGAAGUGGGUGAUGGUGUGCCUUGAAAGAGGAAGGAGGUGGCUCUCUGACCAGGCCGUGGAAGAUGACGCAGGUUUCUAGAGGCCAGAGGAGAGGGACGGGCAAAGGCCAAGAGCCUCUCGCUGGAUUUCAUCUGUAGAGCAAAAGGGACCCUCACUUGGGCAGUGGGCGAUCUGUUAUUCAGCUGAAACUACUGAAGUCUCGGUUAGCAAGGGUAUCUGUUCUCUACCAGGAACGGCUGAUUUGUCUUAACAUACACAGACCUUUCAGGGCAAAAUCUCGAGGCUCGAGAAGCUGCGGUGGGGCCCGCCUAGAAAGGGAGAGCAUGGUGGGACCCGGCUGGAAGGUCACCAGGGACUGACCGAGUGGCAGGUGGCAACCAGGGAGGACACCCUCUGCGGUCAGGGGACCAUGGAAACAGGGAUUCUGGGGCCAGCAGCAUGGGGAUAAUCCAAGCAGAGGGUUGACUCCGGGGAAAUGUGAUGGCAGGUGGGAGUUGGUGAGCUGAGGCUCCAGAGCAAGCUUCGAGUUGCAAGGGCAAGUCACGAUCUCGGUCUUAGCCGAACUGGCAGAAAUAGCGGGAAUUUACGCAGAAGCUGGCCGUGGAUUUGGCAGAGGUGGCUUUAGCCGCAGAAGAGAAGUACCUGUACAAAGAAACAGGUGCAAGAGGUCAGAGCAGGACAAGCAGCAAAAUUGAUUCUGAGUUGCCUGGGGUACCCGGUGAGCCAGAAUAGAAUCUUUUGGGUUGAGUGUCCCUGUUAUUCCCCAGCAGGGAUGCCCAGAUCUAGUGAGUGUAGACACUGCACGGGACAGACGUACACUAAACAGUUACUUGUUGUUUAUCCCAGCUUUGGGAGGUGUCCUCUAUUUUCUCUGGCGGCUCCAUUCCCAGAUCCCAAGGUGGUAGAAGCUGGAUCUGCGUGGGAGUCUCAGCCUCAGAGAGGAUAAAGAUGGGAAAAGCCCCUGCAGGCCACACAGGGACCGUGUCUGUUCCGUACAUUUCCGUGAACCCCACUAAGCCGGAGGAGGCAACGGGAAGGCCAGUCCAGAUGCCAGGCCCUCCCCGUGCCCUUUGGAGAACAGCCCUUGUUGACAUGGUGAGCUAAGCUGUGGAGCCACGACAGGCAGGGUCCAGUGUUUGGGUUUGUUGUUGUUGUUUUUUUUUUUUUCCAACUGUUUUUUAAAGAAACAGUACAGAACAGUAUGAAUAUUAAUCAUAUAGUUCCUUAUUUGGAUGUCUUGAUGUCUGCUGAGUAAGAGAAGAGUUCACUUCCUGGAUGUAGAAGUCACCCUGCAACCUGGCACUGCCUCUGCCUUGUCGCUUGAGUAGCUUCUCGGUGCUCACAAGCUCUUUCCGUGUAGUCAGACUAAACCGCGGAGGUCCCGGAUCUGCUACCGUGGAUCCCUCCAAGCCCACGAUGGAGAAGGAACGUUGGAGUGCCUGCCGCUGAACGUUUAUGUACUUCUUCGUAGGCCCCUCCAAGAGAUAUUUAUUAAAGUCUGUGCUGUGGCAGGCACUUCGGAAGCAAAGUUCCACAGCCCAGCCAUCGUGGUCUGAUGAGUGAGGCAGACAUAUAGAAGAACAAAUGCAGUAUGGCCGCCCGGGUACUGCGAUACAGGUGCAUACAGAGAACGCGGGCGGGGGGUGGGGGGGAACCUGCAGGAGGAAGAGACAUUGCCGGGGGCAGAUAGGGCACAAGGAUACUUAACCUCAGUCUUGAAGAACAGUACAAGGCGUGAGUGGCAUGUCAUUGGAUAAGUGGGGUCUUCAAGGGGAAAGAAGCAGGCAUGAACUGACUCCUCUGUUCCGGGAAUUUCUUAGCAGCCUGCUAACGGUUGAAGUAUGAAACACAAGGGUUGCGUUGGAGAGUGGGCAAGAUCAAGGACAUUGUGGGCCUGGUGAGGACACUCAACCUCAUCUGGAGGCUAAUGAGAAGCCACUGAAGGUGAAAGAGGGAGAUCACAAUUACAUGUUGGGAAGAUCACUCUGGGGGCAGCUGGAGGGAGGACCAGAGGUUGUCAGAGUGGGCCGGCACCUACUAACCGUUGUCAGACUUUCCGGGGAAACUUUGACUGUUUUGUCCCCAAGGGCAAAUGCUCGGGGUAUAAUCUUGGGAAAAGUGUGCGCAUAUCAGGAAAACAUCGUUCUUCGAGCUUCUUGGAAAAGUGGUCGAUCUAGGAUGUGGCCCCGCCGAGUGAGCCGACGUCCCUGCUGAUGAGUGGUGGCUGUGUGUGUUUGUCUGUGCAUGCCUGUCCGCAUGGAGAGGGAGCACACAUCCCCGUUUCUUUUGUUUUUCUUCCUGGCCGGCCCCACCAGUGCCGGGCCUUUGGGGGCCUGGAGCACGUCCGCCUCCCCACCCACGCCGAAGGCAUCUCUGGUAAUGGCAUCUGGCCCAUAUGCACAUCGAGCUCUCCUUGGUGCUGACAUCAGCCAGUUUGUGGCACCUCAGCGUAUUUCUGGGUUGCAAAUGAGAGUUUCUUAGUGCCAGGCUUCGCUCGGGCUGUCACAUCAGGUGAUGAAUUCUCUGCAUCAACGGUGUGCUGCUAAGGAGGUUCCAUGAUGAGCCUGCUGCUGGCUUAGGCUUCAUCUGGUGGAAUUAAAUGUGAGAUCAGGCCUCGCUUCCAGGCCACAGGCCGCAGAAUUUCCUGUACGACUAGCUGCGAACGUAAAGGCUCCUGCAGGAGGCAUGUUCCUAGAGAUAACAAGGGCACACUUGGUUUUGCAGAUUUCACCUUCCCACCCCCGUGAGGCCUCAGUGCGUUUCCGACAUCAGCAUUUUGAAGGGAGUGUGUCUGUUCUAAAGGGAGGUUUGCAUCCGAAGAUGAGUGGAGGCGGCAGUUGGGGCGCAGAAGAAAAAUCAGAAGGAAAGUCUUAUUUCUUGCCACCCCCCGCCCCCACGGUCGCUAAUGAGACCAUCCUCCCUGCUCCCUGCGCCCGCCCCAGAGAUAAAUAAACACACAAAGGCGGAGUUUCCUACUUAAUAUGCACCCGCAGUCAGGAAGCGGGAAGGAAUUGCUCCCCAGGGUUAACGUGGCAGUAAGCGAGGUCAGCUGUUUCCCAAGACGGAGCAGCCUCUGAACGGCUUGCAUUAAGGCUGGAACAGCGCCGCCGAAGCAGCCAGAGUGAUUUACAGGAAACCUGGCGAAGUUGGGCUUGCUCGCAGUUUCUGAUCACGGAGGUUUUAGCGGGGGGCGCGGGGGUGGGGGGAGUAGUUACAGGAAUACAGGACUUCAGUGUUAAUGUUGAGGGGCCCCGGGCACAAGGGGAUAGCUGACCGCCCAAUCUGAAGUUGUGUGUGUCUGCGUGUGUGUUUAUGGAUAGAGGGGGAGUGAAAGAAAAGAGAUUGAUUUUAUUUAUUUUUAAGAGGUCUUAUAUAUUCUUCCUCACUGGGCCAACUAGGAUAAUUAAGAUGCCAGUUUUGGUAUCAGCUUGAACUGAUUCCUGUCUCUACCAUCUGUGAGUUUCCUGUACCCUCUGGCAUCCUGUGCACUGGUCUGAGAAAACAAAACUUUUUCAAACGUC